rnacentral:rRNA from 1 species
AUUGAACGCUGGCGGCAUGCUUUACACAUGCAAGUCGAACGGCAGCGCGGGCUUCGGCCUGGCGGCGAGUGGCGAACGGGUGAGUAAUGCAUCGGAACGUGCCCAGUAGUGGGGGAUAGCCCGGCGAAAGCCGGAUUAAUACCGCAUACGACCUGAGGGUGAAAGCGGGGGACCGAAAGGCCUCGCGCUAUUGGAGCGGCCGAUGUCGGAUUAGCUAGUUGGUGGGGUAAAGGCUUACCAAGGCGACGAUCCGUAGCUGGUCUGAGAGGACGACCAGCCACACUGGGACUGAGACACGGCCCAGACUCCUACGGGAGGCAGCAGUGGGGAAUUUUGGACAAUGGGGGCAACCCUGAUCCAGCCAUGCCGCGUGCGGGAAGAAGGCCUUAGGGUUGUAAACCGCUUUUGUUCGGGAAGAAAUCCUCUGGGCUAAUACCCCGGGGGGAUGACGGUACCGGAAGAAUAAGCACCGGCUAACUACGUG